AAAAGGGCCUUUUGUUAGACGCCAUUCUAGAGAAAAAGUGUCCAAUUAAAGAGAUAUGGGAACUUUCACCAAGCAUUCACAUCACACUUACAAAUACUAAUAGAGUUCCCUUGAUCUCAAGUUAUGGCAACUGGCAAUAAAUUCCACAUCUCUAUCAAUUGCGCUUCUUGGAUUUUACAGGGGGCUGCUCGGGAAUUUCACCAUCAUCUUCUGAGGAAAAUUCUUCUGGUUCAUCAGGGACUUCAUUUGGAACAUUAUGCUUGGUGAUAUAGUCCUUCAGUAUGGUCAUGCUUUGCUCUUUCAUAGAUAUCAGUUGCUCCGAUAAAAUCCCUUUACAUGCCUCAACAGAGUAUGCUUCUGAUCCUAGGCGAAAUGUUGCUUUAACUUGAGGAGGGGAUAAUGCAUCUCGCAUUUGAGCAUCCAUAGUCUCCUGAUUGAGCGGAGCGUUGGGAGCUACAGAGACGGCUGAGGAGAAUAAUAUACGGUUAAGCGAGCAGCUAGUUGAGUUAGGGUUUUUGAGGGAAUUUAUAAUUUGGGGUUUUUUGGAGGGAAGCCCUACCAAUU
rnacentral:misc_RNA from 1 species